CUACGGGGGGCAGCAGUGGGGAAUUUUGGACAAUGGGGGCAACCCUGAUCCAGCCAUGCCGCGUGAGUGAAGAAGGCCUUCGGGUUGUAAAGCUCUUUCGCAAGGAAAGAAAACUUACCCUUUAAUAAAGGGUGAGGCUGACGGUACCUUGAUAAGAAGCACCGGCUAAGUACGGUGCCAGCAGCCGCGGUAAUACGUAGGGUGCGAGCGUGUAAUCGGAAUUACUGGGCGUAAAGCGUGCGCAGGCGGUUCGACAAGUCUGAUGUGAAAUCCCCGGGCUUAACCUGGGAACUGCGUUGGAAACUGUCGGGCUAGAGUGUAGAAGAGGGGGGUAGAAUUCCACGUGUAGCAGUGAAAUGCGUAGAGAUGUGGAGGAAUACCGAUGGCGAAGGCAGCCCCCUGGGCUAACACUGACGCUCAUGCACGAAAGCGUGGGGAGCAAACAGGAUUAGAUACCCCUGUAGUC
rnacentral:rRNA from 1 species